GGGUUGUGAGGUUAAGCGACCAAGCGUACACGGUGGAUGCCCUGGCAGUCAGAGGCGAUGAAGGACGUGCUAAUCUGCGAAAAGCGCCGGUAAGGUGAUAUGAACCGUUAUAACCGGCGAUGUCCGAAUGGGGAAACCCAGUGUGACUCGUCACACUAUCAUUAACUGAAUCCAUAGGUUAAUGAGGCGAACCGGGGGAACUGAAACAUCUAAGUACCCCGAGGAAAAGAAAUCAACCGAGAUUCCCCCAGUAGCGGCGAGCGAACGGGGAGGAGCCCAGAGCCUGAAUCAGCAUGUGUGUUAGUGGAAGCGUCUGGAAAGGCGCGCGAUACAGGGUGAGAGCCCCGUACACAAAAGCGCAUGUGCUGUGAGCUCGAUGAGUAGGGCGGGACACGUGGUAUCCUGUCUGAAUAUGGGGGGACCAUCCUCCAAGGCUAAAUACUCCUGACUGACCGAUAGUGAACCAGUACCGUGAGGGAAAGGCGAAAAGAACCCCGGCGAGGGGAGUGAAACAGAACCUGAAACCGUGUACGUACAAGCAGUGGGAGCCCCACCACUAAGCCAGUGGUGAACUCCACAUACGCAUCCUUUGCUGAGGAUACGGUUAACGGAGCGAAAGCGACGUUUAACCGCAAAAGAAGCAGAGGGGGCUUAGUGGUGGGGUGACUGCGUACCUUUUGUAUAAUGGGUCAGCGACUUAUAUUCUGUAGCAAGGUUAACCGCAUAGGGGAGCCGGAGGGAAACCGAGUCUUAAUUGGGCGUUAAGUUGCAGGGUAUAGACCCGAAACCCGGUGAUCUAGCCAUGGGCAGGUUGAAGGUUGGGUAACACUAACUGGAGGACCGAACCGACUAAUGUUGAAAAAUUAGCGGAUGACCUGUGGCUGGGGGUGAAAGGCCAAUCAAACCGGGAGAUAGCUGGUUCUCCCCGAAAGCUAUUUAGGUAGCGCCUCGUGAAUUCAUCUCCGGGGGUAGAGCACUGUUUCGGCCAGGGGGCCAUCCCGGCUUACCAAUCCGAUGCAAACUGCGAAUACCGGAGAAUGUUAUCACGGGAGACACACGGCGGGUGCUAACGUCCGUCGUGAAGAGGGAAACAACCCAGACCGCCAGCUAAGGUCCCAAAGUCAUGGUUAAGUGGGAAACGAUGUGGGAAGGCCCAGACAGCCAGGAUGUUGGCUUAGAAGCAGCCAUCAUUUAAAGAAAGCGUAAUAGCUCACUGGUCGAGUCGGCCUGCGCGGAAGAUGUAACGGGGCUAAACCAU
rnacentral:rRNA from 1 species